AACGUAGGAUCCGAGCGUUGUCCGGAAUCACUGGGUGUAAAGGGUGCGUAGGCGGGCUUGCGCGUCAAGGGUUAAAGACCUCGGCUCAACCGAGGGAAUGCCCUUGAUACGGCAGGCUUUGAGUGCGGGAGAGGAUGGUGGAAUUCCUGGUGUAGCGGGGAAAUGCGUAGAGAUCAGGAGGAACCCCGAAGGCGAAGGCAGCCAUCUGGACCGCCACUGACGCUGAGGCACGAAAGCGUGGGGAGCAAACAGG
rnacentral:rRNA from 1 species